rnacentral:rRNA from 1 species
UACGUAGGGGGCAAGCGUUGUCCGGAAUCAUUGGGCGUAAAGCGCGUGUAGGCGGCUCGAUAAGUCUGCUGUGAAAGUCCAGGGCUCAACCCUGGGAUGCCGGUGGAUACUGUCGAGCUCGAGUCCGGAAGAGGAGUGUGGAAUUCCUGGUGUAGCGGUGAAAUGCGCAGAUAUCAGGAGGAACACCAAUAGCGAAGGCAGCACUCUGGUACGUGACUGACGCUGAGACGCGAAAGCCAGGGGAGCGAACGGG